CCCUCGAGAUGAGGAGUGUGGAGCUUCAAGCAGUCAUACCUCAGGCUGACCGUCCCUCUGGGUGGCGAGGACAAGACGGUGUGUGUGUGCUGUCUCUGCUCUCCCGUGCCCACCGGACGAUUAUGCGUUGGUGACACCUGCGACCCCAGGGUAAGCAGCACUGCUAUCAUUUCCACCUUCUCAAUAAGGAAGCAGAGAAGUGAAGUGAAGUGAAGUAAGCCACCACACGGUAAGUGCCGGGGCGGCACCUGAACACAGGCUGUCUCCUACCGGCUGACGGCUGACGCUGGAGCUGUUCUGAAGGAACUAGUACAGGCCCUGCUCUCUCCGUUCUUCCAUCCUGCCACGCCGCUGAUGGAAGCGUGGUGUGCGCUGAGAUAAAGCUCUAUGCAGCAUUACUGUGGCCCUCUCUCCCAGUGGUCUCCACUUGUCAAUUCUUAUCGGUUUUAUAUCUUAAUCAUUUCUAAGUUCUAUGUGGGGGCAUGUUCUAUAGAGUACAUUUUAUUAUUUUUUUUCUAGAGAACAGUUUUUCUUCGGUCCUUAAGGACUCAGCUCCUUACGUGGGCUUCGGCGGAGGUCGUGGGGCAGCGCUUCGUGGGGCUCAUCGGGGUGGGGGUGUUUGGUCCUUCCGUGCUUCACACGGGCUGAAGACUCCCGGCAAGACUACCUUGCUGUGAAUGGCACAUCUCACACAGUAAUGCGGUUUCCCACAUAGCCUGGGAAGCAUGGAGGACUGUAUAUGCCUUAAUCUUUCUGCUGAUUCGAUAUGAUUUCAGUUGAAAGAACUUCAGUCUGCAAAAAUCAUGGCUAAUCUCUCUCACAGGUUCAGUAUAUGUGUGUUAUGUCAGUCAAUUCCAAAUAGAAUCCACUUCUGACCUCUGUUUUACAGCAAUGAGACACGUCCCAGGCAGCAAUGAUCGUAAGUGCUCCACAGUGUCAGCCAGUGCCAGGCGCUGUGCUCAACGAUACAACUCUAUGAGGUAGAUUACAGUUGAAGACAUUGAUUAAGAGAGGUCAUGUGACCAGCUAGAGGUCACAGUUUGUAAAUGCCAGAGUCAGGAUUUGCAUCUGAGCCUCAAACCAGAGCAAUAGUAAGAAUGUUGUGUCCAUCUGUAAACACGAUGGGGAAGUUUCGUUUCUUUGUGGUUUUCUAUCUCUCAAAUGGAAGAAAACCACAUCCUUGUCUUGGUUGUAACCUCUUAUACUAUUCUGAAUCCUCCAUCAAGGUGUUAAAAAAAAUACAGGUAAAUAUCUAACAAUUAAGCAUUGCUAUUUUAGGUUAGGAGACCCUCCUUUCAGCCUGAAGCCUCGGAAUGGCCUUUAGAUAGCAGGUUUGUUAGCUCUUGCUUGCCUGGGCUUGUUGUAGACUGCAUGUUUGUGUUGUCCCCACCCCGCCCCCCCCUUCAUAUUUUGAAGCUCUAAUCCUUAGUGUGCUUAUAUUUGGAUACAGGGCCUUUAAGGAAGUAAUUAAAGAUAAAUGAGGUCAAAAGGGUGGGACCCUGAUCCAGUAGGACUGGUGUCUUUAUUAGAAGAGAUACCAAAGGGCUCUCUUUCUACCCCACCCCCUGCCCCCACCAAUAGAAAAGGCCAUGUAAGGACACAGUGAGAAAGUGGCCCUCUACAAGCCACGAAGAGAGCUCUCACCAGGCGCUGAAUUAGCCAGCACCUUGAUCCAGGACUCCUAGCCUCCAGAACUGUGAGAAAAUACAUUUUGGUUGUUUAAAGCAAUCCAGUCUGUGAUAUUGUGUUAUGGCAUUAUGGGCAGACUCAUACAGGGGCCAAAAACUCUCAGCUUUUUGUCAUGAAAAGACAGAGAAAAGAAUGUAGAUAAUUAGAAGAAAAGAUGGGGUCAUUCGGGAAAAACAGCUCAAAGAAUGCUGUAAUUAAUGAGGGUCUUCUGCCUACCUGUACAUUUGCAGCCUUCGGCUAGAAAAGAGUGAACCUCCAGUUACAUUUGUAAAUACGCAGAACAGCCUUCUCCACAACACACCUCAGGGAAGAGGUCUUACCCAGGGAACUUAUUAAAGCCCAAUGUUCAGGAAAUCUAGUGUAGGCAAAUGAAUAAAUAAAAUCCUGCAAACCUUGGGAUUUCUCAGAAGGAGAUUAUUUCCAUUCUCUAGGAAGCAUAUAAAAGCAUUCCCCCCCCCCCCCCAAUACCAGGUCUCCAAGAUACGGCGGGGAAAAAAACCCAAACCUUAAAUGGAGUUGACAACCUCAGGGCAUUUGUUUUGGGGUACAAAGAGAAAUGUGUUCUUUAAAGAGCAUUUUAUAAAAUGGAAACUGCUUUGUUCUUCAGUUUGGAUAUGGUUGAGGCCAUCACUAACACUAAUUCAUUAUAAUUGAAAAUGUUUAGAGCUUCUGUCUGAAACCCUUACUACAUUAAUUUAGAAGGUAGGAAUUCAUACGCUCUUAAAUUCACCCUGGCUCCCCAUCUUCUAGGGAUGGACUAACUUUCCUGGACAGUUGUUGGCACCUAGUCAGUGGACGUGUGCCAGUCUUGUGUCUGUGUGGCGUGGAGUUGUAAGAUCCAGCCUUCAGUCAAAGGAGACACACAAAGGAGAUGAUUUAAUUAACAGAGCAAAGGCAAAAAAAUUGCAUUUUGGUUGGUCACAGAGGUAACCUGAAAAGAAGCCUGAACUGGACUGUUCCACCCACAUGUUACACUUGUUUAUACACCAGGGUCUUUUUCUUUUAUUAUGUUCAGCAUCUGAGUUCAGCUAUUGAUUCUACAGAGCCUUUUGGAAACAUACAACUAUGCCACCAACACAAAAAAUCUUGAUAUAUUUCUAACAAGUUGUUUAUCAAUAGCUGCAGGUCUCUCCUAGUUUUCCAAAAUGCCAGUCAUCACGCCUUUUUCACAGAGAAGCUGGGCUGGUCUGGGCUAUGAAACACAUUGCUGAAGAGUUUACAGAUGCCAGUUAAGAAAUUGAGUACUUCUUGGGAAUGCAAACUGGUGCAGCUACUCUGGAAAACUGUAUGGAGAUUCCUCAAAAAACUAAACAUAGAACUACCCUAUGGUCCAGCAAUUGAACUACUAGGCAUUUAUCCACGGGAUACA